rnacentral:rRNA from 1 species
ACGAACGCUGGCGGCGUGCCUAAUACAUGCAAGUAGAACGCUGAAGAGAGGAGCUUGCUCUUCUUGGAUGAGUUGCGAACGGGUGAGUAACGCGUAGGUAACCUGCCUUGUAGCGGGGGAUAACUAUUGGAAACGAUAGCUAAUACCGCAUAACAAUGGAUGACACAUGUCAUUUAUUUGAAAGGGGCAAUUGCUCCACUACAAGAUGGACCUGCGUUGUAUUAGCUAGUAGGUGAGGUAACGGCUCACCUAGGCGACGAUACAUAGCCGACCUGAGAGGGUGAUCGGCCACACUGGGACUGAGACACGGCCCAGACUCCUACGGGAGGCAGCAGUAGGGAAUCUUCGGCAAUGGGGGCAACCCUGACCGAGCAACGCCGCGUGAGUGAAGAAGGUUUUCGGAUCGUAAAGCUCUGUUGUAAGUCAAGAACGAGUGUGAGAGUGGAAAGUUCACACUGUGACGGUAGCUUACCAGAAAGGGACGGCUAACUACGUGCCAGCAGCCGCGGUAAUACGUAGGUCCCGAGCGUUGUCCGGAUUUAUUGGGCGUAAAGCGAGCGCAGGCGGUUUGAUAAGUCUGAAGUUAAAGGCUGUGGCUCAACCAUAGUUCGCUUUGGAAACUGUCAAACUUGAGUGCAGAAGGGGAGAGUGGAAUUCCAUGUGUAGCGGUGAAAUGCGUAGAUAUAUGGAGGAACACCGGUGGCGAAAGCGGCUCUCUGGUCUGUAACUGACGCUGAGGCUCGAAAGCGUGGGGAGCGAACAGGAUUAGAUACCCUGGUAGUCCACGCCGUAAACGAUGAGUGCUAGGUGUUGGAUCCUUUCCGGGAUUCAGUGCCGCAGCUAACGCAUUAAGCACUCCGCCUGGGGAGUACGACCGCAAGGUUGAAACUCAAAGGAAUUGACGGGGGCCCGCACAAGCGGUGGAGCAUGUGGUUUAAUUCGAAGCAACGCGAAGAACCUUACCAGGUCUUGACAUCCCGAUGCUAUUUCUAGAGAUAGAAAGUUACUUCGGUACAUCGGUGACAGGUGGUGCAUGGUUGUCGUCAGCUCGUGUCGUGAGAUGUUGGGUUAAGUCCCGCAACGAGCGCAACCCCUAUUGUUAGUUGCCAUCAUUUAGUUGGGCACUCUAGCGAGACUGCCGGUAAUAAACCGGAGGAAGGUGGGGAUGACGUCAAAUCAUCAUGCCCCUUAUGACCUGGGCUACACACGUGCUACAAUGGUUGGUACAACGAGUUGCGAGUCGGUGACGGCAAGCUAAUCUCUUAAAGCCAAUCUCAGUUCGGAUUGUAGGCUGCAACUCGCCUACAUGAAGUCGGAAUCGCUAGUAAUCGCGGAUCAGCACGCCGCGGUGAAUACGUUCCCGGGCCUUGUACACACCGCCCGUCACACCACGAGAGUUUGUAACACCCGAAGUCGGUGAGGUAACCUUUUGGAGCCAGCCGCCUAAGGUGGGAUAGAUGAUUGGGGUG